CACGUAGGGCGCGAGCGUUGUCCGGAGUUAUUGGGCGUAAAGAGCUCGUAGGCGGCCUGUUGCGUCCGCUGUGAAAGCCCGGGGCUUAACCCCGGGUCUGCAGUGGAUACGGGCAGGCUAGAGGUAGGUAGGGGAGAAUGGAAUUCCCGGUGUAGCGGUGAAAUGCGCAGAUAUCGGGAGGAACACCGGUGGCGAAGGCGGUUCUCUGGGCCUUACCUGACGCUGAGGAGCGAAAGCGUGGGGAGCGAACAGG
rnacentral:rRNA from 1 species